AGGGCCUGGGUUCCCCUUGGGGUGGUGUGCGGGGCUCCCACUCCCAUCUUCUUCGAUCUGCUCUGCCUCAGGGCUGGAGGCUCCCCGCGCCCUCGCAUCUGGUCGCCUGCCCCUCGCACCCCGCUCCGCCGAGCACGGACCCGAUCGGGGCGCCUUGGUUGCGAACUGCCAGGAGGGCCCUGAGGACACACGGGGAGAUGACUGUCACCGGAGAAACCGCCUCUGGCAGGAUGCGAAGCCUCUCCGCCACCUCCGGAAGAGAGAGGAGUGGGCAGCCGGCUGGCGGCACAGGCAGGGCGGGCAUCACAGCGAGCUCAGGUGAGAGGGAACCAGUUGCAAAGUGCAGUGUUGUGCUUGACAACUCCUUAGCCCCAGGCUUAUCGCUCCCGGUUAAAGUUGACUGGUCUUCUUAAAAGAACAUCAGGAAAAACACCUGCCAAGUAUGAAGGCUUGGCGUGGUGUUCCUUACGAGGCUGCCUGCUGGUGGCCCUGGGUGAGCUGGGAUCGGACUGGGGUCCCUCGGAGAGCAGAGGCCAUGCGUGGAGCACGUGGUAGCGUCUGGGGCCCCACGGCUGCCCCCUGAAGAGCAGGGCCCUGGCUGUUUUGCUCAAGGGCGAGAAGGGUGCUCAGGCACAUGGAGUCGCCUGGCUGUGGUUGGGCACUUUGCUGCUUUUUGGUUGUCAUCUGAGCAGGGAUGACAGCACAGUGGGCUAAGCAUUUAGAACCAGUCCGUGUGGACGCGGACCUCUCAGAGAACCGGAUUCUCUGGCGAGGCCAAGUGCAGAGAAGGGCCAGACACGCAGGCUUGGGUUCCAGGGUGUUCCCAGGAGCUUGGCCGGCUGGAUAGGCUAAGCGCUGGCCAGACCUGGUCGUGUGCUGGGGGGGUCUCUGGUCCGGGCAGCGGAAGGAGGCAGCGGGCGGGAGCCGUGCAUGCAGGCGGCGAGGGGGCGCUGUGGGCCAGCCUGCGGCCUUGGUCCCCAAUGCGGUGGCCCAGGCUCUGCCCCCGCGCCACUGACUGACGGCGAGUGCUCCCGCACCUGGCAUCACUGCCUCUUCCCACGUUGUUUUAAUUCAGGGAAGAAGGAAAAUAGUCCGAGGGCAUUUCAAUAAAACCUACGCGGCUCCUGA